GAUGAACGCUGGCGGCGUGCCUAACACAUGCAAGUCGAGCGAAGCGACCCUACUCGAUUUCUUCGGGAUGAAGGUUUAGUGACUGAGCGGCGACGGGUGAGUAACGCGUGGAUAACCUGCCUCAUACAGGGGGAUAGUGUCUGGAAACGGACAGUAAUACCGCAUAACGUAUUUUUACCGCAUGAUAGAAAUGCCAAAACUGAGGUGCCGAAGGAUGGGCUCGCGUUGGAUUAGAUAGUUGGUGGGGUAACGGCCUACCAAGUCGACGAUCCAUAGCCGGACUAAGAGGUUGAACGGCCACAUUGGGACUGAGACACGGCCCAG
rnacentral:rRNA from 1 species